UACGGGGGGGGCAAGCGUUGUUCGGAAUUACUGGGCGUAAAGGGCUCGUAGGCGGCCAACUAAGUCAGACGUGAAAUCCCUCGGCUUAACCGGGGAACUGCGUCUGAUACUGGAUGGCUCGAGAUUGGGAGAGGGAUGCGGAAUUCCAGGUGUAGCGGUGAAAUGCUUAGAUAUGAUGUAGAACACCAAUUGCGAAGGCAGCUCACUAAACAGACAUUGACGCUGAGGCACGAAAGCGUGGGGAUCAAACAGG
rnacentral:rRNA from 1 species